NNNGCUUCUCGGCCUUUUGGCUCAGAUCAAGUGUAGUAUCUGUUCUUAUCAGUUUAAUAUCUGAUACGUCCCCCAUCGGGGGACUACAUAUUAAAUGGAUUUUUCGAACAGGGAGUCGGAAAUGGGGCUUGCUCCGUCCGCUCCACGCAUCGACCCGGUAUUGCAGUACCUCCGGGAACGGUGCAACACUU
rnacentral:snRNA from 8 species